UGUAUAGCGCGAUUGUAUUUAUGCGGCCUGCGAAUUCGCCCUUGUGCCAGCAGCCGCGGUAAUACGUAGGUGGCGAGCGUUAUCCGGAAUUAUUGGGCGUAAAGAGCGCGCAGGUGGUUGAUUAAGUCUGAUGUGAAAGCCCACGGUUUAACCGUGGAGGGUCAUUGGAAACUGGUCGACUUGAGUGCAGAAGAGGGAAGUGGAAUUCCAUGUGUAGCGGUGAAAUGCGUAGAGAUAUGGAGGAACACCAGUGGCGAAGGCGGCUUCCUGGUCUGUAACUGACACUGAGGCGCGAAAGCGUGGGGAGCAAACAGGAUUAGAUACCCUGGUAGCCCACGCCGUAAACGAUGAGUGCUAAGUGUUGGGGGUCGAACCUCAGUGCUGAAGUAAACGCAUUAAGCACUCCGCCUGGGGGAGUACGGUCGCAAGAUUGAAACUCAAAGGAAUUGACGGGGACCCGCACAAGCGGGGGAGCAUGUGGUUUAAUUCGAAGCAACGCGAAGAACCUUACCAGGUCUUGACAUACCAUUGACCGUUCUAGAGAUAGGAUUUUCCCUUCGGGGACAAUGAAUACAGGUGGUGCAUGGUUGUCGUCAGCUCGUGUCGUGAGAUGUUGGGUUAGGUCCCGCAACGAGCGCAACCCCUGGUCGUUAGUUGCCAGCAUUCAGUUGGGGACUCUAACGAGACUGCCAGUGACAAACUGGGAGGGAAGGUGGGGGAUGACGUCAAAUUCAUCAUGCCUCUUAUGACCUGGGCUACACACGGUGCUACAUGGUGGUACAAGAGAAGCGACGCGUGACGUGAGCAACCUCAUAAGCCAAUCUCAGUCGAAUUGAGCUGCACUCGCUACUGAGUGGAUCGCUAGUAUCGGAUCCGAUGUCGCGGUGAUACGUCCCGAUCUGCCACCACCGUCCGUCAGGGCG
rnacentral:rRNA from 1 species